GAUGAAGAACGUAGCGAAAUGCGAUAAGUAGUGUGAAUUGCAGAAUUCAGUGAAUCAUCGAAUCUUUGAACGCACAUUGCGCCCCUUGGUAUCCCGAGGGGCAUACCUGUUCGAGCGUCAUUUCACCACUCAAGCCUGGCUUGGUGUUGGGCGACGUCCCCUUUGGGGACGCGCCUCGAAACGCUCGGCGGCGUGGCACCGGCUUUAAGCGUAGCAGAAUCUUUCGCUUUGGAAGUCGGGGCCCCGUCUGCCGGAAGACCUACUCGCAAGGUUGACCUCGGAUCAGGCAGGGAUACCCGCUGAACUUAAGCAUAUCAAUAAGCGGGGA
rnacentral:misc_RNA from 1 species